rnacentral:rRNA from 1 species
ACACAUGCAGUCGACGGUGAAGCCCAGCUUGCUGGGUGGAUCAGUGGCGAACGGGUGAGUAACACGUGAGCAAUCUGCCCCUGACUCUGGGAUAAGCGCUGGAAACGGCGUCUAAUACUGGAUAUGAACCGUGGAGGCAUCUUCAACGGUUGGAAAGAUUUUUUGGUCAGGGAUGAGCUCGCGGCCUAUCAGCUUGUUGGUGAGGUAAUGGCUCACCAAGGCGUCGACGGGUAGCCGGCCUGAGAGGGUGACCGGCCACACUGGGACUGAGACACGGCCCAGACUCCUACGGGAGGCAGCAGUGGGGAAUAUUGCACAAUGGGCGCAAGCCUGAUGCAGCAACGCCGCGUGAGGGAUGACGGCCUUCGGGUUGUAAACCUCUUUUAGCAGGGAAGAAGCGAAAGUGACGGUACCUGCAGAAAAAGCGCCGGCUAACUACGUGCCAGCAGCCGCGGUAAUACGUAGGGCGCAAGCGUUAUCCGGAAUUAUUGGGCGUAAAGAGCUCGUAGGCGGUUUGUCGCGUCUGCUGUGAAAUCCCGAGGCUCAACCUCGGGUCUGCAGUGGGUACGGGCAGACUAGAGUGCGGUAGGGGAGAUUGGAAUUCCUGGUGUAGCGGUGGAAUGCGCAGAUAUCAGGAGGAACACCGAUGGCGAAGGCAGAUCUCUGGGCCGUAACUGACGCUGAGGAGCGAAAGGGUGGGGAGCAAACAGGCUUAGAUACCCUGGUAGUCCACCCCGUAAACGUUGGGAACUAGUUGUGGGGUCCAUUCCACGGAUUCCGUGACGCAGCUAACGCAUUAAGUUCCCCGCCUGGGGGAGUACGGCCGCAAGGCUAAAACUCAAAGGAAUUGACGGGGACCCGCACAAGCGGCGGAGCAUGCGGAUUAAUUCGAUGCAACGCGAAGAACCUUACCAAGGCUUGACAUAUACGAGAACGCUGCAGAAAUGUAGAACUCUUUGGACACUCGUAAACAGGUGGUGCAUGGUUGUCGUCAGCUCGUGUCGUGAGAUGUUGGGUUAAGUCCCGCAACGAGCGCAACCCUCGUUCUAUGUUGCCAGCACGUAAUGGUGGGAACUCAUGGGAUACUGCCGGGGUCAACUCGGAGGAAGGUGGGGAUGACGUCAAAUCAUCAUGCCCCUUAUGUCUUGGGCUUCACGCAUGCUACAAUGGCCGGUACAAAGGGCUGCAAUACCGUAAGGUGGAGCGAAUCCCAAAAAGCCGGUCCCAGUUCGGAUUGAGGUCUGCAACUCGACCUCAUGAAGUCGGAGUCGCUAGUAAUCGCAGAUCAGCAACGCUGCGGUGAAUACGUUCCCGGGUCUUGUACACACCGCCCGUCAAGUCAUGAAAGUCGGUAACACCUGAAGCCGGUGGCCCAACCCUUGUGG